AUUCUACUCCCUCCGUUGCACAAUACAUGCCUUCUAUUUGUCAAAAUAUAUAUGUAUCUAGACAUGUUUUAGUAUAUAGGUACAUCCAUUUUUGGAAAAAUGGAAGUCAAGUAUUUUGGAACGGAGGAAGUACAUA
rnacentral:pre_miRNA from 1 species